GCCUGAGGGAGGCAAGGUUGGGGGAAGGAGUCAGGGUCAGGUGGGAAGCACUCGCUCAUUCCUGAACCUCUGCUCUCCACGUAGUGAUUCUCCAGUUUUCCCUUCAAGAGUCAUAAUGGGGAUGGUGAGGUGGCAUAAUGGAUAGAACAUCAGGCUUGGAGACAGGAGGUGCCAGAUUCAAAUCCAGACACAGAAAUGGCCUGGGUGAUCCCGGGCAAGUCAGUUGACCUUUAUUGCCUUAGCCCUCACUGCUCUUCUCCCUUAGAAUCAAUUCUUAGCAUCCAUUCUGAGGCAGAAGGUAUGGGUUUGCAAAAAAAAAAAAAAAAAGCUGUAACACAGUGGAGUGAACCCUGGGCUUGGGGGUCAGAGAAGCCGAGAUUCAAACCACAGGUUGCCAAACUGCUUUGAGUGUCUUUUCUCAUCUGUAAAAUGGAAGCAAUAAUCCCCGGAUUGUCAGAUCUGAGAGCUAGAAGGGAUCUCUGAGAUCAUCUAAUCCAACCCAUUAUUUUACAGUUAAGGAAGUUGAGCCUCAGUGAGGUUAAGAGCCUUGCCCCGAGGUGACACAGACGCUAAGUGGGAACAGCAGAACCAAGAUCCGGAAGCCAGAUCUCCCGCCUCCCAGUCCAUGCUCUCUCCAUUAGGAUCAUGCUCUCCUGGCUCUAACAUGUGAAGCCUCCUGUCUCAGAAUCGACACCAAGUUGUGGUUUAAAGGCAGAAGUGUGAUCAGGCCAAGCAAUUGGAUCUGCUCGUUCAGGGUCAUACAGGGCUGAAGGAUGUCUCACUGAGAUCCCCAGUCUCUGUGGGGAGAGGUGGAGGAGUCAGGACGGGCUACCAGAUGGCCUCUCCCAAAUAAGUAGAACCAAGGCACAAAGGUAGUUAUGGAGAAAAGAGAAGGUGGAAGGAAGGAAGUGCUGACUGCAGCUGCUGCUCCCUUUAUCUGGUCCCUGAGGAGGUGGUGGCCUGAGGCUCGGUACAGAGGCCUCCAGGACCUGAGGUGAGCAUCCUUUCCAGACAACUACCCUCUUGCACAAAAAGAUGCUGGGCAUGGCUGGUUGUCCACAAGAGGCAGUGAUGGGGAAUGACACUUCGUUCUGACCCUUCUUCCCCUCGGACUAGCCAUAUGGCAGGGAAACCGAAGAGAGGGGAAGCCACCAAUGAUUAGAACUGCUGUGGCAGCAGGAAACAGGGAUGUCCGGUCUCCACCUCCCAGGGCAGCCUCUGGUGGGCAGGGGACUAGAGAAGAGAGGAAAUCAGAGUCCCAGAGGAGCUUGCUUGUUUAUAAGCCAUUUGGGGGGAGGGGGAGAAACCCCCCCCCAACCGAUGAAGGAGGAGGAAGUAAACAUGCCAAAGGAACUUAAUAGCCCCUCUCCCCCUUUCAUCCCUAUUCCCCACAGUAUUCCCAAAAUAUAGAUCCCCUUCUUCCUAGACAAGUAUCCCAGAGAUCUCAGAGUGAGAAUGGAGUUUGGGGAAUAGGAAGCUCACUUCUCUCUCCUGAGCUGAAGCAGCAGGCAGGACAGGGCCUCAGGGUGCUCUGCAGAAGAAAAGUCAGAGAUGAGUAGAAGGAAAGGGAGGGGAGUCUGGAGGGGAAGGGUGGGUAAGAGGCAGGAGUCCAUCCAUCUCAACUAGUGUGUCCCACAAUAGUGACUAGGAAAAAAUUGGAGAGUUCUUAGAAUGGAAAAUAAUUUCUCUUAUUCUACUCCAUCCCCUUUUCAAGCCAGUCAUUUUUUUUCUGACAGCCCCUCCUCUUUACCACCCCUCUCCCCACCAUACACACACAGCCUAGCCACCCCCUCAGGAAAAGUGGGAUUCACUGGGAAAAUGAAGGGUUAUUUGGAGCAAACUGUACCCCUGUCUUGAGCUCACAAAGUCCUGAGCCCUGAGGAUAGGUAUGGUUAUCUUGGGCCUGGAGAUUAUCAUCCCUCUCUUCUCUUCCAGCUCUAAUCUCUUUCCUCCUGUACUCACCCUUAUAUUUGAGAUGCUGCAGAAUGGGGAUGAUGGUCUCUAAGGGGAUGUUGUGAGCCAAGAAGAGCUGCCAGGCACAGUACUGUUCAAAGGUUUCCCAGUCUAAGCUCUGGACUGGAGACAGUUGAGAAAAUGGUGUAUAGGACAAAAUUUCCCUUUGGUUACAAUCCACUAACUAGGAGAGACCCAGCUUAUAGCAAUAAGAAAAUUGAUUGAGGGUAGCUAAGUGGCUCAGUGAAUAGACUGUCAGGCCUAGAGAUGGAAGGUCCUGGGUUCAAAUUUGAUCCUAGACCCUUCCUAGCUGUGUGACCCUGGGCAAGUCACCUAACCCUAUUGCUUAGCCCUUACUGCUCUUGUGCCUUGGAACCAAUAUAUAUAUAUAGCACUGAUCCUAAGAAAGUAAGGGUUAAAAAAAAACUGAUUUCUCUAUAAUCUUUACUUCCCAAGCUUAGAAAGAGACCCAGUGACAAGCCCAAGGCCCCAGUAGGGGCUAGAGCCUCAACAGCCCUAUCCAGCUUCUCUCCAUCCCCUUUCCUAAUAUCAGAACACCCACAGGAAUUGCCAUCUUGUCCCAACCCCAAUUCUCUGCUCCCAGAGAUCCUCAGCAGGUGUGGUCACUUACUGAGGAUGUUGAGGACAGAGUCUUUUCGAAACAUGACCAGGUUCCCCAUCAUCACAUGGCAGACCAAUUCCUGUAGCUGGAUAGGUGGGAGUGGCAGAGAUAAAGGGCAUCAUUAGCAUCAGUCUUUCUAGAGGAUUAGGGGAUAUACUGGGAGGGAGGAGGGCAAGCAAGAGCCCACAGUAAAGGAGGUAUUAAUUAGUGAUAUCUGACAAGACAGAAAUAUGGUGAAGAGCAUAGGAAGAAAGCUGAUUUGGGGAAAGUUUGGGGAGAGGUGGCUAUUGCUAUCUUUUUCUUCCUUCCACCAAUUCUUAAAACAGCAGGAUUGGGUUGGUGAUAUCAUACCACUGAGUGAUACACUUCAUACCACUGAGCCUAUUAAUUGAGAGAUGGAAGAAGGGAUGAGCAUCGAUGAGGUUACCUUGUUUUGGCCUCUGACUGGCUAAAAGCAUGCCCCCCUACUGAGGAUCUUAAAGAGACACUACCUGGGAAACAUGGCCUAUGUCCAAGCUCAUUAAUGGAAUGGGGAGUCACCCUUGAGGAUGCAUCCUUGCAUCCUCGGUUAGCACACAGAGUCCUCUCUAUUAACAACACCCCCACAGGAGAGGAGAAAAGCUGGUGGAAUGUAUGUGCAGGGGCAUGGAUGGGUCUGUGUGAAUGUGUCUCAAGAGAUGGAGAAAGGGAAAGUCCAGAAUUUCACCCCAAGGAAGUCAGGAAAACCAUACUUACUUGGGCUGAGUCAAUGACAGCCACAAUCAUGUUGAGGAGCUCCCCACUUCUCAAGGUUUCAUCUGGAAACUGGGAAAAAGAAGAAAAGGAAGAGUCAGGUGCCCAUAGAUGUUCUCUGUACCAUUCUUCAUUUUGGUACAAGUGAUACAAACAUUUUGGCCUUUUGAAACAUUCCCAGUAAUGGGGAUUUCAUCCAGGGAGCUCCUAACCUAUGGAAUUCACUGUGAGGGUGAGGAAAGGCCAGGUGAAUAUGAAGUGAAGCUGGGGGCUGGAGGAAAGAAUUCCAUUACUUAGGGUGUUUCUGUGUAGGUCUAGGGGAAAGAAGAAUAGCUACACCCCUUCUCUAAAAUGACCAAAGGUGGGGGCAGGGAAACAAGGCUCCUUUUAAAGAUCUCAGUCUUUUAUUAAGGAUCUGGGAAGGGUGGGGGAAGCUGGGUAGCUCAGUGGAUUGAGAGCCAGGCCCAGAGAUGGGAGGUCCUGGGUUCAAAUCUGGCCUCAGACACUUCCCAGCUGUGUGACCCUGGACAAGCCACUUGACCCCCCCUCCCCCAUUGCCUAGCCCUUACCACUCUUCUGCCUUGGAACUAAUACACAGUAUUGAUUCUAAGAUGGAAGGUAAGUUAAAAAAAAAAAAAAAGAAUCUGGGAAGGAGGGUGUGAUCCAUUUGUCUUUGGGUCCCUCUCCAUCCUUAUUCUUGGUUGAGCUUCUCAUUCCCCUUGUUGUCCCCACCCCCUAUGCCCUUUCCCCUAUUCCAGAGAACCUUUGCUAAGAACCAAUACUCUCUCCAUAUCCCAGUUCCCCAAAACUUUGUAUGAGCCCAGAGGCUUCCAAGCCUAUUGGAGGCAGUCGGCCAAUAGAAGUGUGCUAGAAAAAUGUAACUCCUACAAUGAGGCUCAUAGCUCAUGGAUUGGCAACUUUGUCGACCCUUGGGGCUGGAAGGCAGGCAGCGAGAUGGGAUCCAAGGGUGAGGCCCAGGACAAGGUCAAACUCUUGGUAUAACCUUGACUCCAAAAGGGUGGGAGAUGAGAAUCCUGGGGCCAGCACUGGCAACCUAAGACACUAUUACACCCUACUUCCAGUACCUAUUGGUAGUAAAGGACAGCUGUAGUGGGGGCUGAGGAUAGAGAUAUUUAUGGCAUAGGGGAACUCUCUAGAAGACUAGAGGGAUAGGGAAUGGGCAGAAGAAAAUCACACAGAGAAGGGCAGCCAAGGGGCCAUGAAAAUUCUCCUCACGUGGAGGUUCAGGGCCAUGGGGGCAGGCAGCCAGUACCUCUGUAUAGAUGGAAGGAGUGAGGUGGCACAGCAGCCUAACAUCAUCCUCCUGACAGGCCUUCAUGUCCAUCAUCAGGCAGGUAUGAAGGUCACCCAACUGUGUGGCCUGGGCAAAUGACUCGUAGAGAUUCAUCUUCCCUGCAGCCGCUUUACUGUAAAAUUAUCUGGAAUUAAACUGAGUGACACGUGCCACUCCCCACCCCAGAGCUCAGGCAAUUCUUGCUCUAGUUGGCCAGAAAAGUCAUCCAACAAUGGCCCGGUUCACUCUUCCCACGCCCAUGCUCAAUCCCCUCUGAAUGGAUCUCUCCCUUAAGCCUGUGCCUGGCCUCCCUUCCUCAGUCUGGAAGCUGCUGAGGGCAGGAAGUGAGUCUCUGCUCCUUGCAUUUCUCAUUAGUGCCCAGGACAAAGGUUUGGGGUGUGUGCGUGUGCGUGUGCGUGCGUGUGUGCGUGCGCGCGUGUGUGUGUGUGUGUGUGUGUGUGUGUGUGUGUGUGUGUGUGUGUGUGUGUGUAGAGCUUCUUCCACCUUCCCCCUCUCCUCCACAUACCUGGCCCUCAGAUAGUACAGCAGGUGGUAGCCAAUCUUGGGCUGUUUCUGGUAGAGCUCAGACAAGAGAUCCAAGAGCAGAGAGAAGCUGCUAUUGUCCUCCUGCAUCUGGCACAAAUUCCUGGUGGAAAGGGGGAAAGUAGGUCUGGGGUGAACAAACUCUUCCAGAGUGUUUUACUCAUACCAAGGGUCUGGAGGUCUGCUCCAGGGGAAUAUGGGCAAUUCCUUUUGCCCCCUUCCUCCCCCCAGAGCUGACAUAAGAGCUGGGGGAGAUGGCAGACAGGGGAGAGUCUCCCAAGAACUGGACACUUACCUAAAUAUUAGGUAAAGGGGCUUCCCUACAGAUUCUUCCAGAGACCUGUAGAGGUAAGAUUAAGACUCAGGACUCAAAAUGUUCUGGGGAGGGGAAGGAGAGGGAAGAGCACUUCCCAUCAAGGAACCACAAUAUUAUAAGAGACCAUUCAUAGCCCUUCAAAGCAAAGAUACCAGCCCCAUCAGAGUGAGAGUCAAAAGACAGAGCUACUGAGGUCAAGCUCAAGCAGUUGCCUUUCUGGGCUAGGUCAGCUUCAUCUGGCAAAAAUCAGGCAUAGGAACUGGAAUGGUAUCUAAAUUUCCACCUUAAAAACUAUAUUGAGCAUAAUAGAGUAGGCACUUAAUAUUAAUAAAUGCUUUCUGAUUAAACAAAUGAGAUGCAAAACAAACAUUUUCCUCUCAAUUCCAAAGCAAGAAUGAUUCUGGUAAGAGGUCUGGAGGUUCCAAUGCCUCCUUCUGCCCAGGGAAAAGGAAUGUGGCUUAUUGCCUGACUGCCUAACUUACUCUUCUGUGAUCUCCUCAGGUAGCACCUCUCCUCGGAAGUGGGCCUUGAAGAGCUCUUGUAGGCAGGAGGCCAGCACAGACAGCUGUUCUGAGUCAAAGUCCUCCUGAGGGAGAAAGAAGGGGGGGGGGAAGGAAGAUGUCACCACUCACUGAUUCCAUAGCCCUAGGAGGACUGUAAAGGCCACUUUACUGAAACCUAGAGCCUAAAAAGGAGUAAGAAGAAUAUGGAUUGCAGAUGGUACUGCCAAGGAGCCUGGCAUGCUCUCUUCACCCUCUCUACCAUAAAAUACAUACCUUGGAGCUGCAAGACCCCUCCCCGAGCUGCCUCCCAGUUAGGCCCUGAGGGUCAGGCUAGGAGCUCCAGCACCCACCUCCCC